GUGAGUCAUCGAAUCUUUGAACGCACCUUGCGCUCCUUGGUAUUCCGAGGAGCAUGCCUGUUUGAGUGUCAUUAAAUUCUCAACCAUCCUGUCUUUCUUUCGAGAGGCGGCGAUGCGUUGGAUGUGGGGACUUGCCUGUUUCUUACGAGACUUCGGCUUCCCUUAAAAGCAUUAGCUAGAGCGCUUCUGUUGACUAGCUGCUAGUGUGAUAAUUAUCUACACUGUGGCCAACGAAGGAAACUCUGCUUCUAAUCGUCUGCUUGCAGACAACUUCUGAUAUCUUGACCUCAAAUCAGGUAG
rnacentral:misc_RNA from 1 species